AGUGAACGCUGGCGGCGUGCCUAAUACAUCGCAAGUUCGAACGACGAAGUCUCUAGCUUGCUAGAGAAAGAAUAGUGGCGCACGGGUGAGUAAUGCAUAGGUAAUGUGCCUUUUAGUUUCGGGAUAGCCACUAGAAAUGGUGAUUAAUACCAAAUACUACCUUAUGAGGGAAAGAUUUAUCGCUAAAAGAUCAGCCUAUGUCCUAUCAGCUCGUUGGUGAGGUAAUGGCUUACCAAGGCUAUGACGGGUAUCCGGCCUGAGAGGGUGAACGGACACACUGGAACUGAGACACGGUCCAGACUCCUACGGGAGGCAGCAGUAGGGAAUAUUGCUCAAUGGGGGAAACCCUGAAGCAGCAACGCCGCGUGGAGGAUGAAGGUUUUAGGAUUGUAAACUCCUUUUGUUAGAGAAGAUAAUGACGGUAUCUAACGAAUAAGCACCGGCUAACUCCGUGCCAGCAGCCGCGGUAAUACGGAGGGUGCAAGCGUUACUCGGAAUCACUGGGCGUAAAGAGUGCGUAGGCGGGAAAAUAAGUCAGAUGUGAAAUCCUAUGGCUUAACCAUAGAACUGCAUUUGAAACCAUUUUUCUAGAGUGUGGGAGAGGUAGGUGGAAUUCUUGGUGUAGGGGUAAAAUCCGUAGAGAUCAAGAGGAAUACUCAUUGCGAAGGCGACCUGCUGGAACAUCACUGACGCUGAUUGCACGAAAGCGUGGGGAGCAAACAGGAUUAGAUACCCUGGUAGUCCACGCCCUAAACGAUGAAUGCUAGUUGUUGGGAGGCUUAGUCCUUUCAGUAAUGCAGCUAACGCAUUAAGCAUUCCGCCUGGGGAGUACGGUCGCAAGAUUAAAACUCAAAGGAAUAGACGGGGACCCGCACAAGCGGUGGAGCAUGUGGUUUAAUUCGAAGAUACACGAAGAACCUUACCUAGGCUUGACAUUGAUGGAAUUUUCUAGAAAUAGAGAAGUGUCUAGCUUGCUAGACCCUGAAAACAGGUGCUGCACGGCUGUCGUCAGCUCGUGUCGUGAGAUGUUGGGUUAAGUCCCGCAACGAGCGCAACCCUCUUUCUUAGUUGCUAACAGAUUAUGCUUGAGCACUCUAAGAAUACUGCCUGCGUAAGCAGGAGGAAGGUGAGGACGACGUCAAGUCAUCAUGGCCCUUACGCCUAGGGCUACACACGUGCUACAAUGGGGUGCACAAAGAGAAGCAAUACCGCGAGGUGGAGCAAAUCUAUAAAACGCCUCUCAGUUCGGAUUGUAGUCUGCAACUCGACUACAUGAAGCUGGAAUCGCUAGUAAUCGCAAAUCAGCCAUGUUGCGGUGAAUACGUUCCCGGGUCU
rnacentral:rRNA from 1 species